rnacentral:rRNA from 1 species
UACGGAGGGGGCUAGCGUUGUUCGGAAUUACUGGGCGUAAAGCGCGCGUAGGCGGACCUGCAAGUCGGGGGUGAAAUCCCGAGGCUCAACCUCGGGUCUGCAGUCGAUACGAGCAAACUAGAGUGUUGCAGGGGAGACUGGAAUUCCUGGUGUAGCGGUGAAAUGCGCAGAUAUCAGGAGGAACACCGGUGGCGAAGGCGGGUCUCUGGGCAACAACGUGACGCUGAGGAGCGAAAGCGUGGGGAGCGAGCAGG